rnacentral:rRNA from 1 species
CCUACGGGUGGCAGCAGUGAGGAAUAUUGGUCAAUGGGCGCGAGCCUGAACCAGCCAAGUAGCGUGAAGGAUGAAUGCCCUACGGGUUGUAAACUUCUUUUAUAAAGGAAUAAAGUGAGGCACGUGUGCAUUUUUGUAUGUAUUUUAUGAAUAAGACUGGGCUAACUCCGUGCCAGAAGCCGCGGUAAUACGGAGGAUCCGAGCGUUAUCCGGAUUUAUUGGGUUUAAAGGGAGCGUAGAUGGGUUGUUAAGUCAGUUGUGAAAGUUUGCGGCUCAACUGUAAAAUUGCAAUUGAUACUGGCAGCCUUGAGUACAGUUGAGGUAGGCGGAAUUCGUGGUGUAGCGGUGAAAUGCUUAGAUAUCACGAAGAACUCCGAUUGCGAAGGCAGCCUACUAAACUGCCACUGACGUUGAUGCUCGAAAGUGUGGGUAUCAAACAGGAUUAGAUACCCUAGUAGUC